rnacentral:lncRNA from 1 species
AGCUGGCCAGGGAGCCCGGAAUGGCUUCCCUCAAAGAGAGCAUCUAGAAGCAACAUGGAGACUUUGGUGACUCUCUGCUCUCUGAAUGAGCUUGAGGUACAGCAGAGAGCAGAAGGAGCAUGUUGCCAAAGAGAAGGUUUCAGAAGGAGCCCCAGCAGGAUACUUCUACAACCAGGAGAGAGGUGGCCACCAGAGGCCCAGAGCAGAACAGCAAGGAAACAGCAUGGGCUCAGCCCAGGAAACUAGGUGGGUACUGUUGGGAGCACGCCCUCCCUAUGCCCAUCAGAGAAGUGACAGUCUCCCCCAGAAAGGCAUUUUAAAGGAAGGAUUGGAAAUGUUCUGAAGUAUGUGAAUGACAUUGUCUAGGAAAUGGAUUACUUUUAGGUUAGUGUUAUGUCCCUGCAGCUACUGUCCAGAGCUGGAUCUAAGUCUAAAGGAAUCUCUUCCUAUACAUGGGACAGAAGGAUGCUCAUGACAUCAUUAGAGACAGCCUAGUGCAAAAGAUAGGCUCUGACACAAAGAGGCCCAUCAUAAUGAAGAUGCCAUGCUGAGGAAUGCCCAGCCCUCUGAGGGCAGCUACUCCUAUCAACAGUGGGGGUCAUUAUGGCAAAGAACAAAGCAGAGUGAUGAGAGACAUAAGCCAUGGCCAUCAAUCAUAUCAGCCCCAGAGGCCACAGACAUCCAGUGAAAAACAAGGUGAUCACAAACAGGGACAGCAAUCAGACCUUGCUGCGAAAAAAGUCUGUGUCCAGGAGACUCUUCACACAGAGUCCAUAGGAGACAUGACUCUGGGUCACCUUUACCAUGUCCAUCAGGCAUCAAUCAGUAAGGUGCCACAUCUGAUCAACCCAAUGCUUCUCAUGCAUGUUAGCAGAAAAAAUGUUUUUCAAUAAAAAUAUAUCCCACAG